rnacentral:lncRNA from 1 species
CACAUUAAUUAAUAUACUUAAGAGUAUGAUCAGUAAUUCUACCCUUUCAAUAUCAUUGUGGGGUGAAUAGAGGUGAAAACGGAUCGGAUAUGGUCGGAUAUUUGACAAAACAAUAUCCGCAUCCAUUUUUAUUUUUGGAUACUGAUUCAGAUGUAGAUAUAUGUCAGAUGCUAAAUUUUUAUUUCCAUAUUCUCUAAAAAAGGAUUCUGAUAUUGUAGGAUACUUUUUCGAAUUCGAAUAUGGAUCGGAUAUGUAUACAACUAAUAAUAUAUAUUAACAUGCACAUACACAAAAAAUUACUUUAUUUUCCUACCUUGUUUCCUUACUAUAUUUUUUCACAUAUAAAAUAUAUAAGGCUAAAUUACAGAACACCUCCUAUCAAAACCCGAUUUUUUACUUUCCCUCUCUGACAUUUAAAAAACCUACACUUUACCCCCCUAAAAAAUAAAAAAUGUUCAUAGGGGGGUACGGUGUCAAUAGUAUUGAUAAAAUAACCAAAAUGCCUUCUCCUUCUUCCUUUCCUACCCCAACCCUCCUUUAUCUGUAGAAGGGUAUUUUCGGUAUAAAAAAAUAUAUAAUAAUGGGAUAUAAACGAAACCCUAACGGAACACUGACGGCGGGGUCCAAAGUGAAUAUUUUUUAUUUUUUAGGAGGGCAAAGUGUAGGUUUUAAAUAACAGGAAGGGAAAGUGAAAAAUCAAAUUUUGAUAGGAGAUUUUCUAUAAUUUAGCCAAUAUAUAAUUUUAAUAUAUAACUCAUUAUAAAAUAAUCUAGUAGUACAAAAAAGCAUUUUAUUUUUCCACAACGUGUAUUAAUCAUCCCUCCGUACCUUGAUUGGCAAUAAAUUAGAGAAGUAGACAAGAAAGAUCUAUAGUAGAGGAAAGGAAUUUGGGCAGGGCGGGAGAGCGAAAUUGGGCAGAGUGGAUCCAAAAAUAUAAAGAAUAUAAAAAUAAUACUAAAGUCCAGAUAUCCACAUCCAUAUCCAUUUUUUUCAAAUAUCCGAAAAAAAUUUAAGUCUCUAAAACCAUAUUCGUAUCCGUAUCCGACCAGAUCCCGAUAUUUUCUAUCCGAAUCCGGCUAUUAUCGAAUACGAAUAUGGAUAUUUUCGAAUAAUAUCCUAUCCAUUUUCACACAUAGG